AUGCCGCGGCGAGCGAUCGAGGUCCGGGCCGACGGCGCCGCGCCCAAGUGGUGCAUGUCGCUGCUGGAGAACACCUUCACGGCGUUCCUCAAGUCCCCCGGCGCCGACGCCGACGCCAAGGCCGUGUUCGCGGAGGGCUCCCUGUUCAGCCCCUACCUGUUCGGCAAGUUCUUCGACCCGGCUGAUGCGUUUCCGAUGUGGGAGUUUGAGUCCGACGUGCUGCUCGCCGCGCUCCGCCGCGGCGCCCGGACCACCGUCGACUGGGCCGAGAACGACUGCGAGUACUGCCUCAGAGCCGACAUACCAGGUGGAAGAAAGUGCGACGUGGAGGUAAGCGGCGACGGCGCAAAGGUGGUGGACGUGAGCGGGCUAUGGCGGGCGCCGCCGGCGGACGGCCGGGACUGGCGCGCCGGCCGGUGGUGGGAGCACGGCUUCGUGCGGCGCGUGGAGCUGCCGGAGGACGCCGACGGGGGCAGGGUGGAGGCCUACUUCGACGACGGUGCGGGGUCGCUGGAGAUCAAGGUCCCUAAGAGGAGCAGCGACACGCACCAACAAGCCUGA
rnacentral:rRNA from 1 species